rnacentral:rRNA from 1 species
UACGUAGGGUGCGAGCGUUGUCCGGAAUUAUUGGGCGUAAAGAGCUCGUAGGCGGUGUGUCACGUCGGCCGUGAAAACCUGGGGCUUAACUCUGGGCGUGCGGUCGGAUACGGGCAGGCUAGAGUUCGGUAGGGGAGACUGGAAUUCCUGGUGUAGCGGUGAAAUGCGCAGGAUAUCAGGAGGAACACCGGUGGCGAAGGCGGGUCUCUGGGCCGAAACUGGACGCUGAGGUGCGAAAGCGUGGGGAGCAA